rnacentral:lncRNA from 1 species
CUCCCCCCUUGGACUCCGCUCUGGGCCUUGCUCGGUCCCCCUGGUUUCUUUUAAUUCACAAAAAGUAACAACAAACAGUCCCCAGCCGCCUCCCUUCUCGGGCUCGUCCCUCCCGGUGCGGUUUGGCAGAGAAAGCCCUCGCAGUCCCCUGGAAGACUAUCCAACGCCGGCCGGCCGGGAGGCGCCCCGCCGCAGAAACCCGACGCUGAUGCCGGGCUCAGCCAGCCUCAGUUUCCUCAUCUGUAAAACAUCCUGUUGGGAAACAAGGGGCAGGAUUCAGCGUUUGGCCGAGGGUCCUGCGCUAUCUGCACACAGUGAAUGCGUUUCCAGCCCAACGGAAGUUGGAAACUUGCAGGCGCCCCUGGGGGAUGAAGGAAGGCCUGAGGAGCCUGGAGUCCCAGGCGGCAGAAGGCGCUGGGCGCUUCCCGCGCGGGCAGGACCGAGGGCUGCCUGAGGUUAUCCCUCACACAACCGGCCGUGGAGCCACAGGUAACCAGCCCGCCCGCCCGGAGCUGCCAGUUGGCUCAAGAGCGACGCGAAGGCCCGGCUGCGGCCCCUCAAGGUAACAGUUCCACGUGGAGGCCAGGAAACUUUGCGCGCCCCGGAGGAGGUCCCCGCAGCAGAGGGGCGCACCCGUCUGUGGCCGCGAGGGGGGCCGCGCAGCCGAGCCGGGGAACUCAGCCCCACGGCCCCGCCACGGGACGAGCUCC